AUAUGAGUUGCUCUUUUUUGACUAAGUGGGUUGGUUUAAAUGGACUCACUGUAUUGGUGCACGGGUGUGGGGCGUGUCUCAUGGGUGUGUUAGAUGAGAAAUGUGGUUGCACUCACCUGUUCACCGCACCUGAUGUUGAUGAUCAGAAAGCUGACCUGCUGGUGGCACCGUUCCUGUGUGGAUGCUGGAUUUAACCACCUGCAGCUCAGCACGACCGUUUUGUUACCACGUGAUAUGUGACAGAUGUGGAAAUGCCAGCAGACACCAAAAGAAGGAGCACGAGAAGCAGGGAGAGCAUCGGGAGCUGAAGGAACAGCUGCUUCUUGCAGUGAUUUAGUCAUGUAUGGAGUUAAAACGAUGCUUAAAAUGAAACUGAAACAAAUAUUGGCAUUGAAAAAUAAUAUUGUAGCUGAAAUAUAUGUAUU